GUGAAAGAGAAGGUGGAACGGGGACAGCGGCGGCUGGGCUCUCGUCAGCGCGGAAGGUGUCCGGCUCUCCCCUCCGCCUCCGGCCCUCUCGGCCUCUCCUUGGCCUCCGGCGUCCCCGGUCCCUCGAUCCUUUAUUCAAACAAAAAACGCCUACAUCUUAUCCAGAUGUUGUCGGUCCUUGACCUGCCGUCCGUCCGGCACGGCGGCGUCCUUGUCGGCGGCGGAGACGGCAUCCUUGUCGGCGGCGGAGACAGCUAUGGAUGCAGAGGAGGAUGAGAAGGCGUCCGCCGUGCCUUGCGCGGGAGGACGGAGGACGCCUCGCCUGGGCGUGUGCUCGGUGAGGGGCGGCGCCCUUGCCGGCGUUGCCGGCGGCGGAGAUGGCUUCUGCUGCGCGGCGGGCUGGAGCAUGGGGGGUAGUUGUCGGGCAACAUGAGGAGGCAGAGGCGGCCAAGGCAAUGAGGCACGGCGUCGGCUAGCCAAGGGGCGGCCGGAGCAGAGGACGUCCACUUCCCCAGUCUGCGCACUCAUCACGGCAAGGCUAAUUCGAGUUAGCAACUUGGAGUAAUCACGUUCUCUCUAAUACUGUGUGCAGACCUAUCAUGUUUUCUGAAUUUCUGCCUGCAGCCCAAGUGCUACCAUGUUCCCUGAUAAAUUUCUUACGCUGAAUUUUUAUGUGCUUCCAUGUUCUGUACAUGUACACGUACUCUGAAAUUCAUUCUAUCUUGUGCAGUCAGUAUUGGGUGUAUACUCAUGACUUCCAAAGCGCCACUUGAUGUAAAAAAUCAUAUGCACAAUGCUGCAAGCUUGGCUAAAGGUGGAUCUUUUUGCGAUCCUAUAUAGCAUGUUGUUGGACGUGGCCGGGUUUUUUGUUGGUAAUUGUUGCGGGAGCAAGCAAAGGAGCCUGGCUUGGUACAUAUGGGUUAAUUGUUCUUGAUCAAUUGUCGUGCGUUAAUUGUUAGGUCUGGUAACAUCCUGCUCCCCUGUCUAAUUUGGGUUGAAUUCAUGACCGUGGCCUUCUCCAACAGAAAUCAGUGGAGUGCCCGACCCGGAUUGAAUUUCGCUGCUAUAAGAAGGAAGGGUCCUUGGCCGGAAUCUCCAUCAGGUUGCGUACUUGGACCAGAAAAUCCAUCAAAUCCCGGAGUACUUGGACCAGAAAAGCAUCGUGUCGCCUUCAAGUUCGCCGGAGGAAGAAGUGCCGAGUUUGCCGGAGGUAGAAGAACAUCCGUCGAGCCGUCGAAUAUCGCCAACGGUGGGCUACACCAGAGUAUUCAAGAAUCCUACCAUAUAGCAGUAUCAUCUUUGUUGCUGCACAUAUUUGGUUCGGGUUGGCCCAACCUAAAAAAUUCAGGGAAGACAAAGCUGGAAAACCAUAGAUGUUAGCUUUGUGCUUCUUCAUUGGUAUUCAAUUAACAUGAAGUAACCAUGAUAGCUGGUGCUGAACUCAUGUUUUUUUCGUGACUAAUAAUAAGGGUUGGAUGAAGCAAAUCAGACACACUUCUAAGACCCCCCUCUCCAGCGACGGCGGAGCACGGGCAGGUGAGGGGCGGCGCCCUUGUCGCGACCUCCGACCCACCUCGUCGCCGACCCUCCCCGUCCUCUUCUCCCACCUUGCAGCUCCGACCUCGCCACGCCCUGCAUCUGAGUCCCCGCUGUGUACGAGGAGAAGGCGGCGAGCUGGCAACACCCGUAGUGCUGGGAGUGGCGAUGCCGCCGCGGCGCUAGAUGCGGGAGGCCCGUGCACAGCGGCGCCAGUGCAGCCGCUCCAGGUGGCCGACGUUGUGGCCGUGGAGAUGCACGUUGGGCUCGCCUCUGAGGGCGCGGGAGCAGCUCGGUGUGCUAUGCCACCCGCACGGCUACUACAGGUGGCCGACAUCAUGUCCGUGGAGAUGCACGCAGGGGUCGCCUCCAAGUGCGCGGGAGCAAGGUCGAGAUGGUCAUCAACUAUGGCGAUUCUCUCCCGCCAAGGUCCAAUCCUUCCCCGUUCAGAUCUGGAAGUCCGGCCUUAGCCCGGGUAGCUCUCGUGGAAGGGAUACACCACGAGCCCUGAUUUGAUCUGGCGAUAGCGGCACAACAAAAUUCAGAUUACAAACUAGAGGUGGGGCUACCGAGGUUGGGAGGGGGACCGGUGAAACUCAACUGUAACGUUUGCGCGGAUGCGCAACAUGAUUUAGAUAGCCAAGACGGGGGAGGUUCUUAAGAGUCGAGGAUGAUGAUUAGAGGUACUCUAUGAAGUAUGAGAAGGAUGGGGAGAUGGAGAGAGUCCUCAAGAAGACUGCGCUGAUUGGGAAGUUAGAGGUAAUGAGGUAGGCGCUGGGGAAUAAUUUAUGUGCGUACUAUGUUUGCGAGAACAUUCGCAUGACGACGUCUGAAAGGAGCACAUCUGACAAAGCACUUUGGAUGCAAGAGAAGCGGGAUAAGCUCCUACCAGCAGAUCGUGUAUGAGUAAUUCAAGAGGAAAUAGCAGGAUUUUUGCUCGACGAGGUUAUAGAUCCCAAAGGAGAAUACCAUUACAAGCUGUAAUGGCUCCAUGUAAUGAUCUAUUUUUAGGGGCAUCUACAUGAAUCCCAUGCAUGGCUUUGCGGCAUGCAAGUCUUUCCUGCUAGACAAGCAAGAAAACAGAGCCAUCACGCUUGCCCUACUGUAGCAGCCUUCAAAGCACCACAGAAUGUGGGCUCUCUCAAUGUCAGUUCAUUAGCUGAGCUGAUCUCACAUGCUAACAUCAUGUAAUCUUUUUUCUACAUUGCACAUUUAUCAGUUGGAUUAUAUCGUAGACUGCAGUUCAGAUCAUUAUCAUGUAUGUUGCUCCUUUGAAAGUUAGACUUCAUAAAGAAGCAAUUUGAUCCGACCACAA